rnacentral:tRNA from 1 species
GUAGUGUCAGCUAAUAAAGCUAUUGGGCCCAUACCCCAAAAAUGAUGGUUUAACCCACCCCCUACUA